UGACGAGGUGGUGCAUGGUUGUCGUCAGCUCGUGUCGUGAGAUGUUGGGUUAAGUCCCGCAACGAGCGCAACCCUCGACCUUAGUUGCCAGCAUUCAGUUGGGCACUCUAAGGUGACUGCCGGCUAAAAGUCGGAGGAAGGUGGGGAUGACGUCAAAUCAUCAUGCCCCUUAUGACCUGGGCUACACACGUGCUACAAUGGGCGGUACAAAGGGUCGCGAACCCGCGAGGGGAGCCAAUCCCAAAAAGCCGCUCUCAGUUCGGAUUGCAGGCUGCAACUCGCCUGCAUGAAGCCGGAAUCGCUAGUAAUCGCGGAUCAGCAUGCCGCGGUGAAUACGUUCCCGGGCCUU
rnacentral:rRNA from 1 species